rnacentral:lncRNA from 1 species
UCAUUCAUGGGAGAAAAAAUGGGAACUCUAGGAAGAAAGACAAGAGGAAGAAGAUAAAAUAAUAAAAAUGUGCCUUUGUGCAAUGAAAAGUCAUUUCCUCUUCGCCCACACACGCACAGAAAUCCAGCUGAGCUCUGUGGUUCCAUGACAGAGACAGCUGUACCCAGGAUGGUUCUGACUCCAAGGCAGGACCAAAUCCUGCCUGCGUGGGAAGACAUGGUACAGAAGGAACCAAUUUUGGUAUUGAAGUCUCAAGUUCCCUCCACAGUUAUGACAUUUCUCACUUAACAUAAUUACUGAGAGCUCCAGAUCGCUGCUGCAGGCACUGGCACCUUGGGGGAAGUUCGGUGUGUUCUGGGUCUUUCAGAAAACCUUCAGUGUCUCCAAGGGCUCAGCCAGCCCCAGCCACAUUUUGAGGAGGAGGAACUUUUUUCUUGUGUGUUGACUAACAAUUAGGAAAGGUUUAUGCAUAACUGACUGAAGGAAACUGAAAAUUAGCUGGCUAGACACCAGCUGCUGCUGCUGAUAUGGCCAAGGCUUUUCUUCGCUCUGCAGAGAGGAAUAUAUUGCUGUCUCAGGAAGGGAACACAGCUUGUCCCAUGACAUCUUUGCCUUCACAUCCUCUCCAUGGCUGAGUUAUGGCUGCAGGUUUGGACAGGCAGUCAUUCCAUGGCACCACAUUUACACAAAUUCGGGGUGCAGAGGUUAACAGUGACCCACUUGGUCGACAUUUCUCUCUCUGUAAUAAGACAGAAGUCUUCUCACUGCUGCAGUUUUGUGGAAAUCCGCCUUCCAGCAGAGCAACACUUCCACGAGGAGAAACAUCAUCUGAUGGUGAAAAUUAAGCCUCAGAAAACCUGGCUGAUGUUCAGAGGAUGA